UAGCAGAAUGAUUCUUGAUAUUAUGUUGGAUCAUGUUGGAAUUCCUAGAGCUAUUUAUCGGAGAAGGAUGUACCCGCAUAACACAAUGACUGUCACUGUGCUUUUCUACCGGAGAAAUGCACGCAUUUGAGUAUUUCUGUUAGCCAUCUUGGUUGAUUACAUCUGGUCAUUACAUUCUUCGGGAGGAGACCUUGUGUUGAGCAUGACACCCAGUCUGGCCAGCCUUGCAACUGCCAGCAACCCGAUUCAUCGAAUGUACGUUGAGCCAAGCAAUGGUCUUUGUUAUGAGGAGCCUGACUGCACCGAAUAUGAUGAGUUUCCUGGCUACUAUCCAUCUGACCAUGAGGACAACAAUAGUGAUUGCUUAUCUGAGCUUGAGCUGUGGUGAAUGCGACCGAUGUUUUGACCGCAUAAGAAGAUGAAGUUCUUUUCGUUUAUCGAGUAAUAUUAUCAUAGGUGGAUGUGAUGCCUCUAUAGAGGCGUUGUGAAUCAGUGUAGUAGCACAC